CUCUAGCCUUGAUUGCAAUGGAAAUACAGCAGUGCAAAAUAAUAUUGUUUUCUUGCUUGAAAGAGCGACCAGCGGAAGCUCCUUUCAAGGAAUUGAAAACAAAUUAUUUUUGCUGCUGGAUUGUAAUGAAAAGCGAGAAAAAGC
rnacentral:misc_RNA from 1 species